GAAAUGCGAUAAGUAAUGUGAAUUGCAGAAUUCAGUGAAUCAUCGAAUCUUUGAACGCACCUUGCGCUCCUUGGUAUUCCUUGGAGCAUGCCUGUUUGAGUAUCAUGAAAUCUUCAAAGUAUAUCUUUUGUUAACUCAAUUGGUUUCUACUUUGGUAUUGAAGGUCUUUGCAGCUUCACACCUGCUCCUCUUUGUUCAUUAGCUGGAUCUCAGUGUUAUGCUUGGUUCCACUCGGCGUGAUAAGUUAUCUAUCGCUGAGGACACUGUAAAAGGUGGCCAAGGUAAAUGCAGAUGAACCGCUUCUAAUAGUCCAUUGACUUGGACAAUACUUUUAUGAUCUGAUCUCAAAUCAGGUAGGACUACCCGCUGAACUUAAGC
rnacentral:misc_RNA from 1 species